UACGUAGGGUGCGAGCGUUGUCCGGAAUUAUUGGGCGUAAAGAGCUCGUAGGCGGUGUGUCACGUCGGCCGUGAAAACCUGGGGCUUAACUCUGGGCGUGCGGUCGAUACGGGCAUCACUGGAGUUCGGCAGGGGAGACUGGAAUUCCUGGUGUAGCGGUGAAAUGCGCAGAUAUCGGGAGGAACACCGGUGGCGAAGGCGGUUCUCUGGGCCUUACCUGACGCUGAGGAGCGAAAGCGUGGGGAGCGAACAGG
rnacentral:rRNA from 1 species